CUGAUCCCAUGCCGAACUCAGAAGUGAAACGCCGUAGCGCCGAUGGUAGUGUGGGGUCUCCCCAUGCGAGAGUAGGACACUGCCAGGC
rnacentral:rRNA from 1 species